GUCUCCGCCGCACCUUCCCCGACCGCUUGGCCAGGACCGCGGGGCGCGGGGCGCCGGACCUCGUGGAACCGCCGCGGCCUGGAUCGGCGGCGAGGAGCCAGCUAGCGCCCCCUGGCGCCUCCGCCGAGCCGUCACAAUGCCGUCGCCCAGUCCCCCAUCCCGCCGGAUUCCAGACCUGAGGCUGGGGAGGCUGGUGUCCGCGCACCCCCGAGACCUCGCCGGACUACGCCAAGCCUCUUAGAGGACGUAGGAGCUCCUGAAGGUCUCCCACGCUCCAACCCACGGCCUCCGCUCGUCCUGCCCCCCCGCCCCGAGUGCUCCAGUCGGCGGUGCUGACCUCGCAGCUCUUCCGCCCCAUAAGCGCGGCUCUGCGCGCUGUCCAACAGCGCCCUCUGGCGGGCGCUCCGGGGAGAUGCAGGUCAGGAAAGAGAAUGAGGGACAGAGUGAAAUCUCACCUCCUCUUCCACCUAAGACUGACACCUCUGCUAUCUUGGCCUCCUUCAGGAAGGCUUUCUGGAGACUGAAGCGGACGGGGCAGAUUUGGGACCCUACCCUCGAUUCUUGCAGCCUGGCAAGAACCCUGCCUUCAUGGCAGGGCCAGUCCAUUUGCAGCUUUGCCCUCCCCAUCUCAGUGGCUUUCUUUUCCGCCAGGGUCCCUCUCAUAUCUGCAGGGCCUCAGAAAAUUAAGAAAUAAAAGCCCUUUCUCAUCA